rnacentral:rRNA from 1 species
GGGCCUACGGGGGGCAGCAGUGAGGAAUAUUGGUCAAUGGGCGCAAGCCUGAACCAGCCAAGUCGCGUGAGGGAAGACGGCCCUACGGGUUGUAAACCUCUUUUGCCGGGGAGCAAGCCUGAGCACGUGUGCCCAGGCGGAGAGUACCCGGAGAAAAAGCAUCGGCUAACUCCGUGCCAGCAGCCGCGGUAAUACGGAGGAUGCGAGCGUUAUCCGGCUUUACUGGGUGUAAAGGGCGUGUAGGCGGGCAUGCAAGCCAGAAGUGAAAUCUGGGGGCUUAACCC